CUUCACUAAACUUCCCAAUGGCCACUGAACUUAAAUCCGUUGCACUAAAAUGGCCACCGGAUGGAUUCCGUCUUUGCUUGUGCCUACGUGCAUGACGGAAAUGUGGAUUGGCAGUUAAAAUUGUUCAUAUUUUGAGUGAGUUGCACACGUGGAUGCCAAAUCAUCCAAACGAGCCCUUACCCAUAUAAACCCAAAUCCAAUUCAUUUUCAAAUCGUGCUUUCAGCUGCGAUUUUGGAGAAUCCUUUAAUUUGGAGGAAAAUGAAAGCAUGAGAAGAAAGGGGUCAAGCCCAAAACACGCCCAGAGCCUUAACCCCCAAAUCCAUUUCAAACAUCCAAUUUGAUUCGGUUUGCGCUAGCUGAAUUUGGCAACCAAUACCGCACACAGAAGGUCCAUUUCAUCUGAAGGCUUGUGGAUGUGCAGGUUGUUUUUAACUAAUUACUUCAUUGAAACCACUUGUCGGAAUGCCCAACAAAGAAACGACUUUGAGGAUGUGGAUUUGGCUUCUUGAAAUGUAUAGAGGUAGAGAAAAAAACUGAAAACAUAGGCCACUUAUUCUCAUGUUGUCGUAGAGAUUGUGGUUAUUUCAAGUGGAACUACAAUUCAUCAUCGUUCGAAGAAAUACCUUUGCAAUUUGAAGGUGAGUUUAGUCGAGAAUCGAAUCUGUUUGUUCGGGUAAAUCGAAGCCGAAAGAGCCACUUGAAGAUUUGUCGUGUAUGUUGAAGACAUUUGUUCAGAUAACAAAACAAAAAGAUGUGGAAAUAUCCAGCAAUAUGAUGAUCCGCAAAGGAAAGGGAGUUAUUGAGGACAAAGGGAAAGAAAAUGGAAGAGUUCCUUGAAUUUGAUCCAACCAUGUAAUCAAAUAAAAGUCUCAUGUAACCGUAAGUUGUAAUAGUUGCAAUAGUUUAAGGUUUCAAGACUUGGAUGCAGUGUUGUAAUAGAUUAAUGUUUUGAGACUUGGAUGCGAUAUUGUAGUAACUCUGUUAAAUGAGAAUGAGAAUGAGAAUGUAUGGUCAGCAGUUUUAUCUUCA